rnacentral:lncRNA from 1 species
UCAUAAAUAUAUAAAAUCAUUUAUUCAUUAAUAAAUUUAUUGAGAACAAGUAUAUUCUAACGUGUGCCAUGCUUUUAGGAUAUAAUGGCAAGCAAUACCAAGCUGUUCCCUAACUUCACAGAGCUUAUAUUACAGUCUAACAGGUAGCACAGACAAUUAAAAAAGCAAUUUUUUAUAAAAGUGUUGGAUCCUAUUGUGAACUAACACUGCCUGCCUGCUUAACAUCCUUCAGUUGGAGAACUUUUUCUCCCAUCUUUCUGAUCCUAGUGAAGUUAUCCAUUGCCAUGGCCUAGCACCCUGCAACACCACCACAGCCCUAUCACCACUACAGGGGAGAGUAUGUUACUAAAUUAGGCCUCUCAGGGUACUUGUUGAGAUUUGUAAAAGGAGCUGGGAUUGCAAGGGCCUGCCCUCUUUUGGAAUUUUGAGUUAUGUGGAUAUAGGUUUGAGAAAUUUUACUACACUGGAGAGUAGGGUUUCCAGAGUUGACAAAUAAAAAUAGAAGAUGUCAUCAUUCAUGCAACCAAAAAACACUUAUUGGGCACCUACUAUAUGCCAGGCACUGUUCCAGGAGCUAGGAAUUCAUCAGUGAACCAGAUUAAAAUCUCUGCCCCAUGAAGCUUACUUUCUAGUAGACAGAGAAAUUAAUAAGCAAUAUUAAUCAGUAAAAUCUAUGAUGUAUUAAAGAGUGAUGGUGAAACCCUGUCUCUACUAAAGAUACAAAAAAAUUUAGCUGGGUGUGGUGGAGGGCACCUGUAGUCCCAGCU